rnacentral:rRNA from 1 species
GGAGGGUGCAAGCGUUAUCCGGAUUCACUGGGUUUAAAGGGUGCGUAGGUGGGCAGGUAAGUCAGUGGUGAAAUCCCCGAGCUUAACUUGGGAACUGCCGUUGAUACUAUCUGUCUUGAAUAUCGUGGAGGUAAGCGGAAUAUGUCAUGUAGCGGUGAAAUGCUUAGAUAUGACAUAGAACACCCAUUGCGAAGGCAGCUUACUACACGAUCAUUGACACUGAGGCACGAAAGCGUGGGGAGCAAACAGGAUUAGAUACCCUGGUAGUCCACGCCCUAAACGAUGGAUACUCGACAUCAGCGAUAUACUGUUGGUGUCUGAGCGAAAGCAUUAAGUAUCCCACCUGGGAAGUACGACCGCAAGGUUGAA